GUGGGUUCGGGGCUGGCUAGCGGGGUGACACUAUUGCGUCUCAUGAGCGGGUUAGGUCCCUUCUUUGCAUCCUCUGACCUCUCCCGGUGUGUGCAGACGGACUCCACGUUCAGGUAGAUGGAUUCCACACGGCAGCCAUAAGCGACAGGCGUCAGUUUCAGGACGGUGUGAAGAGGGCAUUUCAGGUAGGGCAUCUCCUCUGCACUCUUAUCCAGGAAGUAGGCAAGCAGGCAGCGCAGGACGGCCUGGUGGCAGAUGACCAGCACAUUCUCCUGCCGCUCCAGCUCCAUGAUCACUGGCUCCAAGCGCUGGACCAGGUCCUGGUAGG
rnacentral:lncRNA from 1 species